AUUUCAGUCUCCCUUGCAGGAGUGUGUAUGAAGCUCUGGUCACACAGAUUAAAAAGUGGAGGACAUUCUGAGCCUGUGCCACUUGAGGAGAGAAAUGUCUCUACAAGUUGCAGUCUGCAUCUGUGCACUUCAUAUCAGCGAAACACACAACUCCAGUAAAGAAAUAUGUUGAUGACAUCAACUUCAGACUCGUCUCCUAUGGAUUUUUCACAAACUGCCGUGAAGUGGACUUACUGAAGCUCCAGGAUACAAAGAGAUCACCAGUGACUUCCUGUGCACCCAGCGCUCAUCUGCUAACUGUACUGUGUACUAACACUGAAACAUGAUCAUACUUUUUUAUAUCCAACUUUUUAUAUUAGAUUUGAGGCCAUUUAUAAUAUCCCCAAAAUUGACAAAAUAAAAUUUUAACUGAUAUACACAUUUAAAAAUGACAGACUCUUCCUGUGAACAUGGAACAGGACUAUAAGAGUUUUGAAAUUAAUUAAUUAUUUUAUUAAACAAGGAUGCAUUAAAUUAAUCAGAAGUAACAGUAAAGACUUUUGCAUUAUUUUUAUUUCAAAG